rnacentral:misc_RNA from 1 species
GAAAAGUACAUGAUCUUUAACUUCACUAUGGAAAACCAGUUGAUCUAUCAUAUUAAACAAAAAUUUAUAUUAUCGCAAUUACAUGCAAAGGCAAAUGAACAUAAUGAGAUGAUUUUUAAGGAAACUGGAUGUGGGAGUUGAAAGGAGAGAUGAAAAAGUAAAGGUCCAAAAAACACUUGAGACCACAAGCUGAUUUUUCACUUGGGGUCUAUGUGAAAAUGCUGAUUAUAUAUAACGCCAAUUGACUACUGAUCAGAGUGGAAUAAUCUUGGUAAACUCAGUUGAGUAAGUUUUAAGAAAGGUUAUUUCAUUUCUUGAUGUCUGACAUGAAAAUUUAAAUUUUCAUGGAAACUUAAUAGUGAAUGAUGAUUAAAAUGCUUGAAUGAUCUGAAUUAAUGUCAUCCUGAGUUGAGUAAAGCAACAAAUUUGCUUUUUUUACUAAUCAACUUAAUGCAAAAAUUUUCUAAAAUGGAUAAUUGUUAGCGAUGCUUUUGCUGGAAAGUUAAGAGUUAUUAAAGAAAAGUAAGACUGAACUGGAUGGUGAUGUCUAAUUAGAUGAAGGAUCACACAAUGGAAGGUGCAACUUGAAGUGCAUACAAUGAUUGGGAGCUGUAGAUAGCAGUUAGCACCAUUUGGGAUGAUGGAGUUGUCUAGGGUGCUUCAAUGUUCUUUGGUUGAAGAAGGCUAAAAAGGACGUGAGAAAUGGCAGCUAGAGAAGUGGGAUUCUGGAGAAUAAAAUCUGGAAAAGGCAACCGUAAAAAAGAGCCCCUUUAUAUU